rnacentral:rRNA from 1 species
UACAGAGGGGGCAAGCGUUAUUCGGAAUUAUUGGGCGUAAAGGGCGCGUAGGCGGUUUUUUAAGUCAGAUGUGUAAUCCCCGAGCUCAACUUGGGAACUGCAUCUGAGACUGGGAGGCUAGAGUACUGGAGAGGGUGGUAGAAUUCCACGUGUAGCGGUGAAAUGCGUAGAGAUGUGGAGGAAUACCAGUGGCGAAGGCGGCCACCUGGACAGUAACUGACGCUGAGGCGCGAAAGUGUGGGUAGCAAACAGGAUUAGAUACCCUGGUAGUCCACGCUGUAAACGAUGAACACUUGGUGUGGAGGGAGUUGACCCCUUCCGUGCCGGAGCUAACGCGUUAAGUGUUCCGCCUGGGGAGUACGGUCGCAAGGCUG